rnacentral:ncRNA from 1 species
GGCAAACCCGGUGAAAGCCGGGGACGCAAAGCUUCCGGGCUGCCGGGCUUGAUCGUUCAUGGAUCAAGCCCAUGCCAGCGGGGCUGCAG